CCUACGGGUGGCAGCAGUGAGGAAUAUUGGUCAAUGGACGAGAGUCUGAACCAGCCAAGUAGCGUGAAGGAUGACUGCCCUAUGGGUUGUAAACUUCUUUUAUAUGGGAAUAAAACGUUCCACGUGUGGGAUUUUGUAUGUACCAUAUGAAUAAGGAUCGGCUAACUCCGUGCCAGCAGCCGCGGUAAUACGGAGGAUCCGAGCGUUCUCCGGAUUUAUUGGGUUUAAAGGGAGCGUAGGUGGAUUGUUAAGUCAGUUGUGAAAGUUUGCGGCUCAACCGUAAAAUUGCAGUUGAAACUGGCAGUCUUGAGUACAGUAGAGGUGGGCGGAAUUCGUGGUGUAGCGGUGAAAUGCUUAGAUAUCACGAAGAACUCCGAUUGCGAAGGCAGUUCACUGGACUGCAACUGACAUUGAUGCUCGAAAGUGUGGGUAUCAAACAGGAUUAGAUACCCUAGUAGUC
rnacentral:rRNA from 1 species